UACGUAGGGUGCAAGCGUUGUCCGGAAUUAUUGGGCGUAAAGAGCUCGUAGGCGGUCUGUUGCGUCGGCUGUGAAAACCCGGGGCUCAACCCCGGGCCUGCAGCCGAUACGGGCAGACUAGAGUUCGGCAGGGGAGACUGGAAUUCCUGGUGGAGCGGUGAAAUGCGCAGAUAUCAGGAGGAACACCGGUGGCGAAGGCGGGUCUCUGGGCCGAUACUGACGCUGAGGAGCGAAAGCGUGGGGAGCGAACAGG
rnacentral:rRNA from 1 species